UAGUGUUGAGUCUGGAGGAGGCAGCCCAGUAGGAGGAAAAGGGUCCCCAAAACAGGCAAAAGAGUCAGAGGUAGCCUUUGCUUUCAACUGUUAGGAGUCCCACAAGAAGACCAAGCUACACAACUGUUACAUAUCUACAGAAAGCCUAGGUUCCUACGUUGCUUUGUCCCAUCCCCCACAGCACCAGGCUACUCAUUGUCUCCUCUCUCCUACUCCUGCUGUGUCUCUUCCUCACCCACCCUUUUCUUCUGGAUGGCCUGCAGAACCCCAAGUCUUCUAUUGUAGAAAUUGAUUUCACAGUGUGAGUCCUUUUCACUAAUGAGUUUACAGGGUUCUUGUCAAAAUGCUGCUAUGGAUGAUCCAGAGUUUGAUUUCAGGUUGUAUUUCCAAGUUUGGUAACCUGGCCUUCCAGUGAUAAGUGCUUCCGGUUUCAGUGACAUCUCCCACCUGACGUCCACACAACGUGUGCGUUCCC